ACACGCCUUUCCUUCUCCCUAUAUAUAACUCCUCUCCCUCUUCCUCUCUCCGUUGUCUCUGUGGACAGCACAAACACAAUUUUCGAAAUUUUCAAAAUCCUAAACGUUCAUUUUUAUCCCUUUUUAUUUUUUGUUUGGUUUCCGUUUCAUGCAAACAUGCUUGAUCUAGAUUGGAAAGCUAAGAUGGUCUCUUCUGAUCUCCCAAACAAGUCCCCUAAACUCUCUAACAAGCUUAAUGUUAUGAUCCCUUCAACGACGCCGUUUCGUGGGGUUACCAAUAUCUCGCCGGUUUCUGCUUCCGACUCUUCUUGUACGGCUUACGAGCACUACCUUCGGUUACCUGAGUUGAGGAAAUUGUGGACUUGUAAGGAGUUUCCCGAUUGGAAAAACGAGUCCAUUUUUAAACCGGCUUUACAGGCUAUAGAGAUCACGUUUCGGCUCAUUUCUACGGUUUUAUUGGACCCGAGACCGUACGCGAACCGUAGAGAAUGGAAACGGAGGAUCGAGUCGCUUGCUACUGCGCAGAUCGAGCUUAUUGCUAUUCUGUGUGAAGACGACGAAGA
rnacentral:misc_RNA from 1 species